CGCUAAAAUUUGCCUAUGUUGAAUUCCAAUGAAUCCCGGAAAUUGAACAAACCAAACUAUUUAUCGAUAUUGUAAACCAAUUUGUAGUGAGAAGCCUUUUUCCAAGGAGUUCUUUGAAUGUAGCGCGAUCGUGUGUCGCAAUGCGGUUAGCCUCUCGUGGUCAAGUUCGCUGUCGCCCCAGAUACGAGAAACGACAAAAGAAGGGUUACGCUAUUAUCUAAUGGGGGAGAUAGGUUACGUCAUGUUCGAAAUGAAUAACUGUCAAUAUAAUACACAAAACAAAAUGUAUUCAGUCAUUUUAAAAUUAAACUUGAUGAGUAACAUUACAAUCUCAAUUACUGCAAUACCACUGGAAUUGCAAUGACAAUGAAAGAAUUCCAUUUUAUGCUACCUUCUCCACCUCAUGUAAUCUUACGUAGACUGGUCCAAUCAAGAAUGACCACAAGGAUUUGAUCGUGUAAAGUUAGGCCUACUGUCGAUUAACGAAGCUGACAUUUAUGGUAGAAUUGUGUAUGCCCUGAAACAUUCCCAUCACGGAUACAAUUGAAGAACUUUGCAAGUGUGAAAAGGGCCAAGAUGAUGAAACAGUGGCAACGGCACGAGAAUCGACGCGUUGGCGAUCAGACCCCUGCAAAAUGGCCGAGUACGACCUCUUCUGUACACUGCUGGAUUCGGUGCAGUAUGAUUUUAAACUUUCAACUCGAUUCCGGCAUGGGAUAGCAGAAUGACGGCUGUUGCGCGAAGGCAGUGAUUUGUGUAUGUGUGUGGCAACUUGGCAUUCUUGGAGAUGUUUUUCAUCAUUUGUGACAGUGAAUUUUUGCCAACGCAUCGUGACUGAAGUGAGGUGUACCCAACAGAAUCGCAGAUAUCGACGACAGAUUUCGGAUGUUGAAAGAACGAUUCAUUAUUGGGAUUCAUGUGGGAUUUGUACAACAUGAAGGAUGAAACCGGACACAAAAGGCCAUUCUCAUCAACCUUAGCAAAGCGGGACUGUGGAGGGACGCUCGGUGUACAAGAUGGAGCCGGGUCAGCGUUAGCGCUGGAAUUUCGAAGUGGAAACGUCCGGAGUGCUGGCAUUGGUGUAUUUUGGAAGAUCAUUAUCUAGAAACAAGUAUCAUUAACUUAUUCUUUGGCUGAAUAAUAAUCUUUAAACUUGGAAUAUUGUACCAAAUUAAAUACUCGAAUGCUUGAAAUUUGCGGAGCAGUUCAUUUGUGAAUAAACAUCAUUGAAGGA